GGGGCCGAAGCAACGGCGAGUGAGCGGCAAAAGCUCAAAUUUGAAAUCUGGUACCUUCGGUGCCCGAGUUGUAAUUUGGAGAGGGCAACUUUGGGGCCGUUCCUUGUCUAUGUUCCUUGGAACAGGACGUCAUAGAGGGUGAGAAUCCCGUGUGGCGAGGAGUGCGGUUCUUUGUAAAGUGCCUUCGAAGAGUCGAGUUGUUUGGGAAUGCAGCUCUAAGUGGGUGGUAAAUUCCAUCUAAAGCUAAAUAUUGGCGAGAGACCGAUAGCGAACAAGUACAGUGAUGGAAAGAUGAAAAGAACUUUGAAAAGAGAGUGAAAAAGUACGUGAAAUUGUUGAAAGGGAAGGGCAUUUGAUCAGACAUGGUGUUUUGUGCCCUCUGCUCCUUGUGGGUAGGGGAAUCUCGCAUUUCACUGGGCCAGCAUCAGUUUUGGUGGCAGGAUAAAUCCAUAGGAAUGUAGCUUGCCUCGGUAAGUAUUAUAGCCUGUGGGAAUACUGCCAGCUGGGACUGAGGACUGCGACGUAAGUCAAGGAUGCUGGCAUAAUGGUUAUAUGCCGCCCGUCU
rnacentral:rRNA from 1 species